rnacentral:misc_RNA from 1 species
UGCCAAUCAUUCUCCCUAUUUUCAGUUCUUGAAACACACAAUGGGUAGGAAAAAAUUCAAUUUUUCAAUUAAGGAUUUUAGUAAUGGAGCAAAUAGAUAAGAGGUUAAUAGAAAAACUGGACACAUUGCAAAACUGAAGCAAGAUUUAUAGUAGGAGUGCAUUCAAUAGAACUUGUUCUAGAGAUAUUGACCGAGUAUCUGUCCGCUAUGAGGACUUCUUCUUUUUCUGAACAUGGAAAAUAGGUUGUAAAUUUAUUUGAAGAGCCUGUCAUGGGCUUGUUUGUCUUAGAAUCUAUAACCCAAGGAGAUUUUUCAAGAUUAGUGAGAAAAACAUUACCUGAUUUAACAAAAUUAGAAGAGGUUCCAGCUGUGACAGCAAAUGCCUUAGGGAUUGUACUUCUUCACUGGAGAGGAUUCUAGUGGUGGCAGUAGGAGCAAGGUCUUCAGAAAAUCUUACUGUUUCAGAUACAUUUGCUUGUGGUCUUGUUGAGCCUGUCCGAUUCCUCCACGCCCUUUGGAUGGGCAACCAUGUAACUUCUAGCAAUGUUCCUUUGUAUACCGGGAUUCCCCACAAUAAUCACAAUGUAGAUGAUUCUUAUUUGAUGGAUCAUUAUGUGACUGUUCAUGGGAGGAAGCAGCUACAAAC